rnacentral:rRNA from 1 species
AACGAACGCUGGCGGCAGGCUUAACACAUGCAAGUCGAGCGCAUCCUUCGGGGUGAGCGGCGGAAGGGUGAGUAACGCGGGGGAACGUGCCCUUUUCUACGGAAUAGCCCCGGGAAACUGAGAGUAAUGCCGCAUACGCUCGCACCGGGUAAGACCUCGUGGAGGAGGAUGGGGUCGCGUGGGAUUGGGUAGUUGGUGGGGUAACGGCCUACCAAGCUGUCGGUCCGUGGCUGGGCUGAGAGGCUGACAAACCACAAUGGGACUGAGACACGGCCCGGACUCCUACGGGAGGGAGCAGAGGAGAAUCUUGGACGAGGAGGGCAGCCCUGAUGCAGCCGUGCGGCGUAAUCGAUGAAGGCCGUAGGAUUGUAAAGUUCUUUCAGCUGGGAAGAUAGUGACGGUACCAGCAGAAGAAGCCCCGGCUAACUCCGUG